rfam:Cicer arietinum chromosome Ca4, whole genome shotgun sequence.
UUGUUUGCAGGUGCAGCAGCAUCAAGAUUCACAUACAAAUUCUUUAACAUCUUUAAUUAAUUGGUGUUAUUAACUACACUAAUUAAGGAGAGUGUUUUGGUAUAUUGAGAAUCUUGAUGAUGCUGCAUCAGCAAUAAA